UUAAUCGCUGUUAAGAUCAGUCUCUGCUUUGAUCAACUUGAACAACAGAGCAAAGGAUUCUGAUUCUAUGCUGGCUUUUUCUUACCAGUCUUACAAGAAAGGCCCAGUUCCAAGAAGUUGAGCUGGAAAAACAGCCAAGCAGCUCAAAGAGGCGUUUACAAUCUCUAGCGAAGAAACGAACAGAUGUGCGGCAACAAAAAAAAA